GAUAGUAUUCAUCUUUGCAACAGGCGCAAAAGUCUCCUGAUAAUCUACCCCAUAUGUCUGAGUAAAGCCUUUUGCCAUUAGCCUGGCCUUAUAUCUCUCAAUGGACCAUCUACUCUAUGCUUCACAGUAAAUUUGCAUCCAACUAGUUUCUUUCCCAAUGGAAGAGUAAAAAGAUCGCAUGUCUCAUUUUUGCCAAUGCAUUCAUCUACUUUACCAUGGCUGCCCUCCAUUUUGGAUUAAGAUAUGCUUUCUUCCAAUCUUGUGGGAUAAAACAAAAGAAACAA
rnacentral:misc_RNA from 1 species